rnacentral:rRNA from 1 species
AGUGAACGCUGGCGGUAGGCCUAACACAUGCAAGUCGAACGGCAGCACAGUAAGAGCUUGCUCUUACGGGUGGCGAGUGGCGGACGGGUGAGGAAUACAUCGGAAUCUACUUUUUCGUGGGGGAUAACGUAGGGAAACUUACGCUAAUACCGCAUACGACCUACGGGUGAAAGCAGGGGAUCUUCGGACCUUGCGCGAUUGAAUGAGCCGAUGUCGGAUUAGCUAGUUGGCGGGGUAAAGGCCCACCAAGGCGACGAUCCGUAGCUGGUCUGAGAGGAUGAUCAGCCACACUGGAACUGAGACACGGUCCAGACUCCUACGGGAGGAAGCAGUGGGGAAUAUUGGACAAUGGGCGCAAGCCUGAUCCAGCAAUACCGCGUGGGUGAAGAAGGCCUUCGGGUUGUAAAGCCCUUUUGUUGGGAAAGAAAAGCAGCAGGUUAAUACCCCGCUGUUCUGACGGUACCCAAAGAAUAAGCACCGGCUAACUUCGUG